AUCACCAAAGUUAAGCAACAUCGAGCCUAGUCAGUACCUAGAUGGGUGACCACUUGGGAAUACUAGGUGUUGUAAG